AACGAACGCUGGCGGCAUGCCUAACACAUGCAAGUCGAACGAGACCUUCGGGUCUAGUGGCGCACGGGUGCGUAACGCGUGGGAACCUGCCCUGAGGUUCGGAAUAACUCCCCGAAAGGGGUGCUAAUACCGGAUAAUGUCUUCGGACCAAAGAUUUAUCGCCUUUGGAUGGGCCCGCGUUGGAUUAGCUAGUUGGUAGGGUAAAAGCCUACCAAGGCGACGAUCCAUAGCUGGUCUGAGAGGAUGAUCAGCCACACUGGGACUGAGACACGGCCCAGACUCCUACGGGAGGCAGCAGUGGGGAAUAUUGGACAAUGGGCGAAAGCCUGAUCCAGCAAUGCCGCGUGAGUGAUGAAGGCCUUAGGGUUGUAAAGCUCUUUUACCCGGGAUGAUAAUGACAGUACCGGGAGAAUAAGCUCCGGCUAACUCCGUG
rnacentral:rRNA from 1 species